rnacentral:rRNA from 1 species
UACGUAGGCAGCGAGCGUUGUUCGGAGUUACUGGGCGUAAAGGGUGUGUAGGCGGUUGUCUAAGUUUGGUGUGAAAUCUCCCGGCUCAACUGGGAGGGUGCGCCGAAUACUGAAUGACUAGAGUGCGGGAGAGGAAAGUGGAAUUCCUGGUGUAGCGGUGAAAUGCGUAGAUAUCAGGAGGAACACCGGUGGUGUAGACGGCUUUCUGGACCGUAACUGACGCUGAGGCGCGAAAGCUAGGGGAGCAAACAGG